rnacentral:lncRNA from 1 species
UGAGCAUAGCACGUAGCAUACUAUCCUCUUUUAGAGGGGUAGAGCCCUGUAAUUGGCACAGUAGACUUUUAUAUUAUUUUCAAAUUAAGUUUUAAGGAGUUCUCUUUAUUUGCUAAGUUUGUAUGUGUGUGAAGCAUAUAUAUUUGAAUGUCUGAAUUUCUUUGGAAGAUCCUUGAUUUAUUUCACACAGAAAUUUUUUUCUCCAUUCUCAAAUCUAUGACAUAUGCCCUAUGUUCCAGUACUUUGCUUUGUACAAUUUCCUGUAAACAGCAGUAGGCAACUUCAAUAUACACUGGCUGGUUGGUUCAGUGUUCUUGCAGUACUUACAAUGGACAUUUCUGAGCAUAACUAAUCUCUUUUUUUUUUUUAUUUUGGUCCUAUUCGCAUCAGCACCAAUCCAGUGCUUUGAAAUGAAUUCAAAUGCUGUGCUCUUUGAAGGGAUGAGGAUUAAAGCUUAAGCUGGGUCCAGGGAUGAGGUGAGAGGAAAAAACCCUCACAAAUCCGAUGCUUUUUUUCCUCCUAAGAAGUGAAAAGCAAUGAGCUGUACUAUAUAAAAGAAAGGAAACGGCCAUUAGCCCGAGGGGAGGUCCUGAGUCGUCCAAAGGUUCUCCAGCGGGCAAGCAAGAAAGACAGCACUCCUGCCCCGAUCCGUACACACUGGAGCAUCCAGACUGACUAAUGAACAGCAUUUUCAGUUAAUUGUACCUUUUAAAACUUUCUGCUGUUUACAUCACUGUGACACGUGUAUCCUGAGUACAACUCUUACUAUUAACCCUUUUGAGGCUGGCAGUGGUUUCAGUUUCUUCGUGCUCUUUCGCCUAGUACCCAGAAAAUCUGAAUUAAAUAAAGAAUUCACAUUUGGAUCUUAUUUUAAGUACUCCUCGAAGUUUCAAUUCCCGUUGGAGAUUUUUUAAAGCCUGGAGCAGUGGAGGAGCUAAAAAGAGAAGAGAGGUCAGGUGAUUCAGAGCGCCAGGUGAAGUGUUUCAAUUAGGAAGAACGUGGGGACAGCACACACAGUAAAAGGAGACCAAGGGGGAAGUGGAGCCCGCUGGAAAUGAGUCAUAAAGGCACAGAAGUGAGCUGCUAAAUGUGUGCAUUUAUUUAAAAAGAUGAGAGAAUUUGAAAAUACAUGUCAAUGAAAGGAUGGCGGUAAGUGACUGACAUUCCGUUGCCGUGGUAGCCCAUAAGGAAAGCUGGGUGGAACAAUAAUCUCUUUUCAGAAGAAAAAUUAAACUCUAACGGCUCAGGUAAGGUUUCUGGUAUAAAAGAAAAUACUCUCGAAAGAUGCAUACUGGAGGGGGGACUAGAGGGGCUGUUGGCAAUGUUCUAUUUCUUCACCUGGUUGGUGCUCAAGUGUUCAUUUUGUGAUAACUCAUUGUGUAGCACAAUGAUAUUUUAGGCACUUUUCUUUAUGUGAGUGCUAUAUUUCAAUUAAAAAGAAAAUAUCUGACUCCUAGUUUAUUAAAUUCUGUUGUGUUUUUUGAACACAUCAGAGAUUACCUAAACCCAUUCAUCGUUUGUGUCUUUCUAAAGAGAUCUGGUGUUUUUCUUCUAGUUCAAAUCAAUUCAAGAAAUAUUUAUUGAGCGUCUGAAUGUGCCAGAUACAAAAGAUGAAGAUCUUCUUUCAAGAAGCUCACAGUCUGAUGGGGAGAUGACAUGUGGGGGAAUUAGAACAAUAGUCCAGGCGAACUCUGAUGGGCCAUUUCAGCUUCACAGCACCCCGCACAGAUGGCUGAGGCUGGCAGGCUUGCCUCACAGCUAGAUUUCUCCAUCUUCCCAAUCCUGCUUCCGCCCCCUCCCUUCCAUGGAUGUUGAUCUCAAGAGCACUCCCUAAUAAACAUCCUGAACACUAAACUUUGCCUGAGUCUGCUUCCUGGAGAACCCAACCUGCAUUACAACAUGAAAAGCUUAGAUGAGAU